GAUGAACGCUGGCGGCGUGCCUAAUACAUGCAAGUCGAGCGAACAGACGAGGAGCUUGCUCCUCUGACGUUAGCGGCGGACGGGUGAGUAACACGUGGAUAACCUACCUAUAAGACUGGGAUAACUUCGGGAAACCGGAGCUAAUACCGGAUAAUAUAUUGAACCGCAUGGUUCAAUAGUGAAAGACGGUUUUGCUGUCACUUAUAGAUGGAUCCGCGCCGCAUUAGCUAGUUGGUAAGGUAACGGCUUACCAAGGCAACGAUGCGUAGCCGACCUGAGAGGUUGAUCCGCGCUACGGUAACUGUGACACGCUCCAGACUCCUACGGGAGGCAGCAGUAGGCAAUCUUCCGCAAUGGGCGCAAGCGGAACGUAGUAAUGCCGCGUGAGUGUAUAAGGUCUUCGGAUCGUAAAAUUCUGUUUUUAGGGAAGAACAAAUGUGUAAGUAACUAUGCACAUCUUGACGGUACCUAAUCAGAAAGCCACGGCUAACUACGUG
rnacentral:rRNA from 1 species